rnacentral:rRNA from 1 species
UACGGAGGCUGCAAGCGUUAUCCGGAAUGAUUGGGCGUAAAGCGUCCGCCGGUGGCAAUGUAAGUCUGCUGUUAAAGAGUCUAGCUCAACUAGAUAAAAGCAGUGGAAACUACAUAGCUAGAGUACGUUCGGGGCAGAGGGAAUUCCUGGUGUAGCGGUGAAAUGCGUAGAGAUCAGGAAGAACACCGGUGGCGAAGGCGCACUGCUAGGCCGUAACUGACACUGAGGGACGAAAGCUAGGGGAGCGAAUGGG